rnacentral:lncRNA from 1 species
UAUUUAUGAAAUAAAUUGAUUGCAUGAGGUCUAUUAAUUGACAGUCUAUAUCAUUUGCAUGUUGAUGCGAAUGUGAAUUUAAAUGAAUAAAAGAGACCCAGAGAUGAAAUUAAUUAGAAGUGAGUGCCGUAGGUCAAAAGAGACCCAGAGAUGAAAUUAACUAGAAGUGAGUGCCGUAGGUCAAAAGAGACCCAGAGAUAAAAUUAACCAGAAGUACUUGUGGCAUCAUAGACUAGGCC